UUUUCCCCAGAAGUCGCCGGUGCUCUGCCCGGCCCCCGAGCAUCCUUCCUCCGGCCGGCGACGUCACCCGCCGGCACCUACGGCCUCAGCCUGCGCCCCCCACGCCGAGCCCCACGCGGAGCCCCCCACGGAGGUCAGACGCGCUGGCUCGCUGGUGCCCCCGGCAGUCCUCGGCGGCCGACCAGGUGGAUGAACGCCCCAGGCAUCUCCUGUCUCAGGAAGGGCACCUCGGCGUGCAGUCCUGCUCCAUCUCCCCGGGCCCUCCGGGCGUUUCUGCCUCUCUUCUGCCCACGGCGUUUCCAGCUGCUCGUCCGCAAACCCUCACCCCCGGCCCGGCUCUGCAGGAGUCAGACUGAAAUGUCCUUCUAUACUGUGACGUGACUCCCUUGUAAGGGUGCCAUCCAUCCGCCUCUCGGUGAACACCAUUUCUCCAGCUUCCGGGACAGCAAUCUGGUUGGCUGACGGUCUGUGUGGCCGUCCAUGACGUCUUAGCUUCAGACCCCUGGGCCCGAAGCCCCCAGACCAGCCUGCCUCAUGUUGUUAAAGCUUUUGCUGCAGUUUCCAAAUGGACCUCCCCAAAGCUUAGGCCUGUGCCGCCUGCACGGGAUGCUUUCUGCUUCCCCAAACGCCUGACGAGGGCAGGCUUUAACCUUCGCCAAUGUGAUGGGGAAGUGCAGUCUUCCUAAUUUUUUUUCUCUGAAUUACCUUGUUUUAAAUACCACUUUGGAUAUUACAUCUCCUCUUGUCCAAUGACCUCCCGUUUGGGCCAUACUUCCCUAGUGGACUUACUGAUUGUAGCUGCAAAUGUCUC
rnacentral:lncRNA from 1 species